rnacentral:rRNA from 1 species
AGUGAACGCUGGCGGUAGGCCUAACACAUGCAAGUCGAACGGCAGCACAGUAAGAGCUUGCUCUUACGGGUGGCGAGUGGCGGACGGGUGAGGAAUACAUCGGAAUCUACUUUUUCGUGGGGGAUAACGUAGGGAAACUUACGCUAAUACCGCAUACGACCUACGGGUGAAAGCAGGGGAUCUUCGGACCCUGCGCGAUUGAAUGAGCCGAUGUCGGAUUAGCUAGUUGGCGGGGUAAAGGCCCACCAAGGCGACGAUCCGUAGCUGGUCUGAGAGGAUGGUCAGCCACACUGGAACUGAGACACGGUCCAGACUCCUACGGGAGGCAGCAGUGGGGAAUAUUGGACAAUGGGCGCAAGCCUGAUCCAGCCAUACCGCGUGGGUGAAGAAGGCCUUCGGGUUGUAAAGCCCUUUUGUUGGGAAAGAAAAGCAGCAGGUUAAGACCCCGCUGUUCUGACGGUACCCAAAGAAUAAGCACCGGCUAACUUCGUG